rnacentral:tRNA from 1 species
GCCGCUUUAGCUCAAUGGUAGAGCAGCUGACUUGUAAUCAGCAGGUUGAGGGUUCAAGUCCCUCAGGCGGCU